UAAACAUCAUUCAAUUUUUUUGGUAAUUCAAUUUUUUUGGUAAUUCAAUUUUUUUUUGUCCAAAUGAAAACGUAUAAGUUGGUGGUUUUUGGAAUUUUAGUGCUUACUUUGGGGAUUAAUACUCAGAAACAGGUAUUGGAUGGUAUAUCUGAAAAUUCUGAUACUUGUAUUUUGGAUCUAGGUAAUGAGACAUAUACAUUUUCUCCGGGAGAAAUAAUUACACCUAAAACUCAAUGUAUGGGAUGCACAUGUCAAAAUGUUGGCAAUGAUUCUCAAUAUAGUUGCUUAGGAUGCAAUGAAACCGAAAAAUUGCCCCUAUAUUCUGGAUGCACACCAGUUGGAUUUAAAGGUGAGCCUCAUCCUGAUUGUUGUCCAGCUAAUAUUUGUUCUUAAUAAUUUUAACGAUGUAAUGUAAAAUUUAUAUUUUAAAAAUAUAUUUUAAUAUAUAUAUAUAAUAUUUGAUUUUGUAUGAAGAAAAUUAUUCCAUAUUUAUUUGUCAAUUAAUUUUUUUUUAAAAUUAUGCAACGUAUCAUUGUAAUCUCAAUAAAAUUUUUAGUUUUGAUUAGAUUUCA